GGUUUUGAGAUUGUUUGGAAGUGUUGGAAAUACGUGGAAACUGGUUCCGUUUUGAAAAGUGAUUCUUGGCAAGAUGUGAAUUGAAUACAUUUGUUAUUUAAAAGUAAAUGGGCCAAUAAUGAUUUUGAAGUAAGAUAUUGAGCCUGAUUGAUGUGUUGAAAAUGUUUCUGAAAAACCACUGGACUACUGUUUUAUAUUGAGAUUAUGAGACGCUAUGCGCCCGGCAGGGGCUGUGGUCGGUGGCAAUAGAUCCCUCUCGUAUCCCUUCGGAUCAUCAGAGCGUACAGGCGCAAAACCCUGGAUAGUGAUCCGAGCACUAUAUCUCGGGGGUUCCUACACCAUGAUUCUGAAGGGCAACAUCUCCAUGGAGAUGUGUCAGGUUGGCAGUUGAAUCGACAAUGUGAUAUCACAGCCAGUAGGGCAGACAUUCAUCAUUUGUAUUUAUGUGACAUUGUUUGGGUGUGCAUAUUGUAAUUGGUUUGCCUAUGUGAAUACUAAUGUUAAUUGCUAACUGCUAUAUUUGUUGUAAUUGCUAUUGAUUGUGUUUGAAAUACAUUAUUUGUGAUUGUGUUUGAUUGGUUG